rnacentral:rRNA from 1 species
AAUCAACGCUGGCGGCGUGCCUCAGACAUGCAAGUCGAACGCGAAAGUCCCCCUCGGGGGACAAGUAGAGUGGCGCACGGGUGAGUAACACGUAGGUAAUCUACCUUCGGGUGGGGAAUAACAAUCGGAAACGGUUGCUAAUACCGCAUAAUGCAGCGGCACCUAAUGGUGACAGUUGUUAAAGCGGGGGAUCGCAAGAUCUCGCGCCUGAAGAGGAGCCUGCGGCGGAUUAGCUAGUUGGUAGGGUAAUGGCCUACCAAGGCGACGAUCCGUAGCCGGCCUGAGGAGGGCGGUCGGCCACACUGACACUGACAUACGGGUCAGACUCCUAC